GAAUUCUUCUCUCAAGUGGGAAGGCGCCCGAGAGUAGACACCAGCUCGUUUUGGCCUCCUGUUCUGCCACCCUUCAAACUUGGCUGCUGCCCCUCCACGCCGGCUUCCCCGCCACCUUCCAAGCACAAAGAAGGAGGAGGGCAAGGGAGCAAACGGCAGGAUGACCAUGCCAGUUGCUCUGUCCCUUUUCCAAAGCUUUCCCAGAACUGUACCCAGAGACCCCACUCACAUCCCAGUGGCCAGACUGGAUCACAUGGCCAUUCCUACCUGCGAAGGAGGCUAAAAAAGGUGACCUUUCUAGUCUUCUGGCCUCUUCAAUAGAGGAAAGUAGAGAGAAGGGAGUUGUAAGUCUGCCCCUCCCCCACCCCGGGCGCUAAGAGAUGGGGGGUAACUCUGCAAAGCUGUCCUUCUGCCUCAAAGAUCAUUCCGCAGACACUGCUCUCUCCGUUAGAGUGUGCGGGGAAUAUUGGAAGAAAGGAAGGAUCCUUGCCCCUCCCCCAUUCACAGCAGAGCAGAACAGCAGGUUUGUCUGUUCAAAAACACAUGCCUUGGGAGUUGCUUCACUCGGGGUCAAACCUGUCUUCUCAGCAGCAAAGUUCUCAUUUUUACAUCCGUGUCAAUCACUGAGGAAGAUUAAAAAAAAAAACCCUGUUGAGUUACCUCUCCCCAUAUACCAACUAGGAGUGAGCUCAAAAUACCAGGACCUGGCCUCAUGUAAUUUACCGCCCAAGACUGGAAAUACAGGUUGGGGGGGGGGACACGGGCCAUCAUAAAGCAGACGAACCACUUACAAAUGCGACGAGCUGCCCCCGCAUGCACGCACCUGCUGCCUUCACCACUAGACAUCGAAAUGGUGCCCUGCAGAAGAUGAAGAAUUAGGAAAAACCUGGGAUUAAAAGGAGCAAGAGAGAACAUUGUCUUUAGAGGGAGUGGGCAAGAACGACCCAAGCUUCUAGGCUCUAAUCUGGGAGGCACAGAGGAUCGGGAAGGAUCUGAAAAACUGACACUGAACCUUCGCGAAGCAGAGAGAGAAGCUGGGGAGUUGGGAGGAGUCCACAGAAGUGAAAAGCUCCUGACCUCUGAGCCUCAGUCCCCACGUCCCUGAAAUAAGAAUAAGAACCAUACUUGCUCUGCCCAUUUCAAAGAGGUGGUGUGAGGAUUAAAGGAAAUGUCUUUUUUAAAUAUUUAGAUUUGAUGCCAUUUGCUGAUGAUAAUUGACAUGUGUGUGCUUGUGAAGAAAGUGAAAAGGACACGUUCCUGAACCACAGCAAUUUCGUGUAGCACAGUCAACGGAUAGAGGGCAAGAUGAUGGCCACUCUGUGUUUGCACCGUCCAGAUCGUAGAUGAGGGUGGAAACUUUAUUAUCUAUGCAACGAGGAAUGGAUGUUUAACUUGGAAAAGAGAGGAGAUAAGGACACCAAGGCACAGAGAGGUUAAGGAAACCCUACUAAGUCAAGCUAGUAAAUGGCGGAACCUGAACUUGAAUCCACGUGGUUGGAAAUCAGAGUCCAGUGCUUACACACAAUGCUGUGCAGCAUUUUCAUGGGCAUUUACAGGUGAGGAAAAUAAGGCACAGAACCAUGAGCCAUUGAACCAUGGUCACACUGCUAACAGUGAUGAAGCCAGAAUUGGAAGCUGUUGGAAACCAAUGAACAAUUAGGAGGACAAUUGUGGUUCAAUGUACAAAGACUUGUCUCACUGGGAAAGCCACCUAACAAAGAGAUGAGCAGCCCAGUGGGGUUCUGAGUCCCCUGUGCCCAGAAACAUCCAGGAAAAGAGAUGAAAAUACUAUCUUCUAAUGCAUCCAGCUUAGGAUUCCCCGUUCUAGGGAGACUCCCCUGCUUGGGUAGGGAUUUGAUGGCCCUGCUGCUUCCUCCCCUGGUCCUCCUCUGGUCAAGGACCUCAAACUGAAAGCAGGUUAUCUUGACAUGCCCACUACUAGCUGCUGUCAUUGACGUUUGAGUUUGUUUCUAAAGGUCCCAGAUGGUUUUUGACAAUUGAAUAGCCUUUGGCUGAACCAUCAAAGCUGGUUCACGCACAUGUGGUCCUCACGCACUCAUCUGCUCAUCCAUCUGACGCUUAUUGAGCAUCUAUGAAGAGCCAGGCACUGUCUAGGUGCUAAGGAUGCAGGAGGAAGAGGAUGCAGGCCCUCCAACAGAGGCUGCUGAUGCUCCGCUCGUGAUCCACCCACCCUGGAGGUCGCUGCAGACGGGUCCCAUCCGGGCCACGGCUUCCAGCCUCUCUGUGCCCCAGAGUGCUCUCUGACCACGGCGUGCAUGGCUCAUGAGAGGAAGGGAGUCAGUGGAUAAAUGCCCAGCUUCCGUGCUCUUCAGUGGGACAAUGGGAGGUGUUCUCCUUACAGACAGUCCAUGGCUCCCCAACAGAACCGAGCCCCAGUUCUUGAAUCCACAGCAGGAACAUCAUUAAUGCUCCCUCCUAUUGUCUCUCCUCUCCUCCCUGUCUCGCUUCCUCACUCACUCACCGUGCUUCUUGGGAUCAUUUCCUUAAAGAACUACUAUCACCCAAAUCCUUGUCUCAGGAUCUGCUUUUGGGGGAACCUGUCCUCAAGGGGCUUCCGACCUCCUAGUUGGGGCAUAUGUAUUGUUACUGAGGCUGCAGAUUCACUCGAAUAAACCUCACUGAGAAAACCAGAGGCGGCUUCCUUAGGAAAGACACGCGCACCGUGUGGCUCUCCCCCCAAGUGCCUUCAGGUCAGGAUUUAACGUGGAACAAAGACAUGGGGGACGCCUGCAGGGCAAGGCCAGGCCAGCGUACGCACCGUCCAUCACCUGCACAAGAGGAGAGAAAGGACGGGAGGAGAAGGGGGCCCUGUGGAGCAGCCAGUGAGGCCUGUCUUUAGCCACUGCGGGCCUCUGUCUGUGUGGGGGGGCGCAGCCUCGGACCCAGCGGGACGCUCUGCCCUGCACGCAGGACCACUCCUGCGGCAGCUUUGGCUGUCGGCUGCUGGUAGAGGAGAGGGAAACUGGAAAAAUUGGGGACUUUGUCCUCAAAAGAGCAGCAGCAAAGGGAGGCGAGGUGGCGUCUGACAGCCGCCUGAUGCCCUUGAGGCUGGGUUUCAGCAGGUGAGGACCACAGCGCAGCAUCCCUGCAGCUGUCCCACGUCCCCGCAUCAGACACACAGGAGGACCGCAGUGUGAGCUCUAGGGUCUGCCCGCACGGAAUUUCUCUUAGGUUUAAGCAGGUCUAGCAAGCUGUCGGAAGAACUGAAACACCAGGCCACAGCGCACGCUGGUUGGCGUGAGGGAGGAAGCUGCAAGCUCUGCUCUCGGGACAGAAGCAGACAGGAGUUGUCCGCCCCUGACAGCCCCCCAGGAGGAGCCCUUUACGCCUGGUGGAGAGGGCUUCAGGAAAUGCAGAAGGAGCUGCUGUCCUCCUGUGGCUUGUGGAGGCCCGAGCAGAGCUGCCUUGGGCCCACGCGUCAGCAGUGGGACAGAGUGCGGGAAGGAUGGUGCUCUGCAUCCUCCCUGGGGCACAGCCAGGCGGUGAGGCCAGAGGAAGUGUGGGACUAUGAGGUCAUCCGACGGGGUUUCAGGGUUGAGGCCCAGCGACAGAGGGAGCCCGCAGCCAUGCCCUCUUUACUCACGGAUGGUGUUGCAGCAGGCAGGCACCCUUAACGUGAAUGAUGAGGGGACAGGAGGGGAGACAUGAGAGAACUCUGGGGGGUCCUAUAAAAUCCCCCCAGGGAUCCCAGAAGAACUGGCAGACAUUUUCGAUUGGGGCAGAGAAAGAAUUUGGUUUCUUUUAUGUGGAGGUAGGAGUUAAAUUUGCACUUUAAAAUUCCAAAUCCAAGGUUGGGAAAACUGGCCAAAACUGACAUCGGUGCGCCGCAGAGAGGCCGAUCCGGCCAAGUGCUGCUCUAGCUCCCAGGAAAGCCCAGGCAGGUCCACAUGGUCUUCCAGGGUCCCGAGCCCAGGUCAGGUCCAGCCUCAGGAGAGCACACCACCCCCGGGCAUGGACUACCAACUUCCGGCCAGUGAACCUAAAUGUUUCCAAAGGCCAGUUGUUCAAAGUUUGACUUUCAAGGUGCCCAGCUCAUCUUCAGGG
ensembl:lncRNA